rnacentral:pre_miRNA from 11 species
UUUUAGAAAUAUUGUUACUGAAAGACCCCCAGAGUGGGGAGACCCUCACUCAAGUCUCGGGGAUAAGCUUACACCCCAAUAAUUCAAAAGAGACC